rnacentral:rRNA from 1 species
UACGUAGGGUGCGAGCGUUAAUCGGAAUUACUGGGCGUAAAGGUGCGCGGCAGGCGCAGCAAGUCGAGUGUGAAAGCCCCGAGCUUAACUUGGGAACUGCGCUCGAAACUACUUGGCUAGAGUGUGGCAGAGGGAGGUGGAAUUCCACGUGUAGCGGUGAAAUGCGUAGAGAUGUGGAGGAACACCGAUGGCGAAGGCAGCCUCCUGGGCCUUACCUGACGCUGAGACGCGAAAGCGUGGGGAGCGAACCGG